AUGACCUGGGCUCUCUUUCUCCUCACUUUCCUCACCCAGGCCACAGGUUCCUGGACCCAACAGAUCCUGACUCAGCCUUCCUCCUUGUCUGAGGCUCUGGGGCAGACGGUCCCCAUCUCCUGUGACGGAAGCCACAAUGACAUUGGUGCUUACUCGUAUAGUGUCUCCUCGUACCGACAGCACUCAGGAACAGCCCCCAAACUCUUGAUUUAUGAUACAACAUCUCGGCCCUCAGACAUCCCUGAUCGCUUCUCUGGCUCCAAGUCUGGCAACAGAGCGACCCUGACCAUCUCUGGGCUCAAGCCUGAAGAUGAGAGUGAUUAUUACUGUUGCUCAUAUACAAAAAGUAGCACUUUCCACAGUGACUGUUGUUCACAAGGAAGUGAGACAAAAACCUGUUCUCAAGACUGCCACACUCCUGAAUCCAACUUUUGCUGCUUUAUCUUACUUAAAAACUUUUAG